rnacentral:rRNA from 1 species
AUACGGAGGGUGCAAGCGUUGUCCGGAUUUAUUGGGUUUAAAGGGUGCGUAGGCGGCCCGUUAAGUCAGUGGUGAAAGGUAUCAGCUUAACUGAUGAAGUGCCAUUGAAACUGAAGGGCUUGAGUACAGACGAGGUAGGCGGAAUUUAUGGUGUAGCGGUGAAAUGCAUAGAUACCAUAAAGAACACCGAUAGCGAAGGCAGCUUACUAGACUGAGCCUGACGCUGAGGCACGAAAGCGUGGGGAGCAAACAGGAUUAGAAACCCCGGUAGUCC